rnacentral:misc_RNA from 1 species
GAUGAAGAACGCAGCGAAAUGCGAUAAGUAGUGUGAAUUGCAGAAUUCAGUGAAUCAUCGAAUCUUUGAACGCACAUUGCGCCCCUUGGUAUUCCAUGGGGCAUGCCUGUUCGAGCGUCGUUUGUACCUUCAAGCUUUGCUUGGUGUUGGGUGUUUGUCUCGCCUUUGCGUGUAGACUCGCCUUAAAAUAAUUGGCAGCCGGCGUAUUGAUUUCGGAGCGCAGUACAUCUCGCGCUUUGCACUCAUAACGACAGCGUCCAAAAGUACAUUUUACACUCUUGACCUCGGAUCAGGUAGGGAUACCCGCUGAACUUAAGCAUAUCAAUAAGCGGAGGA